CGUAAAUCUAACUACCUUCAAGCUGCCUUGCUGGACACACCACACAGAGUUAGAAGGGGAUGUCUGAGGAGCCGCAGGUGUUCCAGUACCUAGCUGUUGGAGUCUCCUCAGCAUAGGCACCAGGCAUGUCUUCAAACUCAGACUGGGGCUUACACCAUUGGCCCCUGGUUCUCAGGCUUUGGAGCUUGGACUGAAACUACACCACCAACUUUCCUGGGCCUCCAGCUUGCAGACUGUGGAUCAUGGGACUGCUCCAUACUCAAAUGGAUGGAAGCUAAAAGAGAAUGGAAGGCCUCCAGCUGUUUGAGGCUCUGUCCUCAACGACAAUCAAAAUUCUCCAUCUUUUCUUGUUCUUGGCACUUUCUGAUUGAAAUAAGAUUCCAGCAUUUAUCUGCACCUGCAAUUUUGACAAGAAAGGAAAAUUUAAAAGACAAGUGAAAGAAUUCUCUGAGGGAAGUCAGUGAGUCGACAGUAGUCAGACGCCUCCAAAUCUCUUUUUGCAUUCCUCCGUCAAUUAAGCUACAGUCACAUAUUGGAGAGCAGAACUUAAGUCUGUGAGUAGAAAUGCAAAAAUGUGUGUCGAUCAGUAGCUGGAACCUUCCUCUGGAGCGAGUAUUACUUGGAGAGCAGCUGAUGAUCCAUUUGGCAUUGAAAUGGAGAGGAUUUUGAGUCAAAGAGGCCACUUUAAAUUAUAGAUUUGAGUUUAGUUGAAGGUCACACUUAACUUGCAUGAAUAAAAUCUUCAGAGAUUUUGGAAUAUACUCAGAAAAUGCAGGCAAUCCUGAGCACAUAAGCAUUUCCUUCAGGGGGUAAAAGCAGUUUAAUAUUAUUGCCCUCUGCAUAAUUAUUGAUCAUAUUAGCAUAGGAGAUACUGAAAGGGAAGGCAGAGUAACCGUCUGAUGGACACCUUGAUUCUCAGCAGCUACGACCAUGAACUUGGACAGGAAGUUGCCUGGAGACCUGGGAAGAUUGUAAAGGGAAUUUGAUAGUGACCAUUUCAUUUUGGCUCAACAGAUGACAAAAGUGACCCACUGAGAGGGGAAGGUUUAUUUAGCUAAUCUAUAUGACAUAAAUAAAUUCCCACACCUAGGAAUUUG
rnacentral:lncRNA from 10 species